GUAUCGGUGGUUGAGUGGUAGAAUUCUCGCCUGCCACGCGGGAGGCCCGGGUUCGAUUCCCGGCCGAUACA
rnacentral:tRNA from 1 species